GGGACACUGUGUAAGGCAGUGAAUGAAAUUUCAACCGUGUCCUUCCAGGAACAGAUACAGUGAACUUCCCACAUAUAACACCCUGGGGGGAGUUGGACAGUUGGGGGAGGGGGUGAAAAAACCACCCUGGGUACAGACUGAGAGCAUCUUGACAAAGGGAAUUCAUGUAAAAAUCAUUCCACAAGGGUCGGUAUUGUCAACCCUGGCACACAUCUCGCUGCUACUUAAAUACAUAAUAAAUAAUCUAAAUACACCUAAAAGAAAGUUUAGUAGAUAGAGAAGAGAAUAGACUACCUAUUAUUAGGGCAGUUCUUCCCAGAUUGUUCCUUUCCAGUAUCCAGUGAGUUCAGGUCAGAGUGACCAACUGUCCCAUUUGCCCGGGACUGAAGACCUUCCCAGAAUGUGGAAUUUUCAGAGUUAAAGCCAGGAUAGUCCCAGGGACACCAGGAUGGUUGUUCACCCUAAUUCAGGAUGACAAUGCAUGGUACCUGGAUCAUAGCUCUUCUGUGUUGCUGGGUUUUUGUUUGUUUUGUUUGUUUGUUUGUUUGUUUGUUUGUUUGUUUUUAAGAGACUGGUGUUACUCUGUAGCCCAGGCUGGAGUGCAGUGGUACAAUCACAGCUCACUGCAGCCUCCAAUUCCUGGGCUCAAGUGUUCCUCCCACCUCAGCCUCCUGAGUUGCUGGGACCACACCCAGUACAGAAGGAGUCUUGCUAUAUUUCCCAGGCUGGUCUUGAACUCCUGGCUUCAAGUGGUCCUCCCGCCUCCUCCUGAAGUGCUGGGAUUACAGGGGUAAAUCACCCUGGCCAGCCCUGUGUUGCUGACUUUAAAAGUCGGACAAACCGAGGUAGGGAGGAACCCAAGAGGAAGUAGAGAGCUGCCAGAUCUGUGCAGGGAAGGGGACUGAGAGAGUAUGUGGCAGGGCCUGGAUUCUCCUCCCGAAGUCUUCUCUCCUAUAAUGCACAGGUCAAGGCCCACAAUAUGCCUGGCCUGGUGCUUUGUCUGUUCCAGGUGCUCAGUCAAUGCGAGGGUUCAAGUUGAAUGGAAGUGACUUAGGGGAAAGCGUUCCUCAGCCUGUCCCAGCUCCUUUUGCUUCAUCUUACCUUGAAUCUUCAGCUUCUGUUCAGGGCUGAGCUGUGUGUCCUGGAGGCUGGGCCCCUAGAGAUGGAGAAGCACAGUCCUCUUCUACAGGGACUGAUGCUCUUCACCUGGCUGCCCAGAUACUGAACUAAGUAACCUGCCCCCCCGCAUCCUGCUCUGGGUAAUGUUCUCACUGGGGCUCCCCUUUCCUGAGAAGAGACUGUGACCGGCAUCUGGGGCUCUUUUCUUCUUAACAUUAUCACCUGUUUCGCAUCUCAGCCACCUCAAGGACCCAGGGUGCCAGACUUAUGGCACUGGGAUUUUAGACAGAAAUAACAUCAUCUUUGCCCAUGGGGGUCUUGUGAUGUAGUUGAUCAAACAAAUAGGUAAAUUGGGAAAUGUAGUCUUGUCAACUUUAUUUUGGAGGCUUUAGAAUUGAUAUACAAAUUAAAGCAAAAAUAAACAAACAAACCCACUCCCAGAACUCAGCUCUUAGACCAAAAUUAAAUCAAAAUAAUUUAGGCCUCUGAAAAUUAUCUCCCACUUCCUACCUCUGGCUCUCCUCCUUCACUUUCUGGGAAAGAGAAGCAAACAAUCAAAGAAAUAGAUUCUCUAACUCCUGAUUUAUUUAUCCUAAACCUAUAGGUGGAUCACUUACCUUUUCUGGGGCUGAGUUACUUUAUCGAUAAAUACAAAUAGUAAUAACAACAGCAACAGAUGGAUUGAUGAAUGGAUGGAUGGGUGGUGGAUGGAUGAAUGAUAAUAGAUAAAUGGAUGGAUGGUAGAUGGGUGGAUGGAUGGUGGUAGAUGGAUGGAUGAAUAAAUGGAUGAAUGGUAGGUGGAUAGAUGGUUAUGGAUGGAUGUGUGGUGAAUGGAUGAUUGGAUAGUAGAUGAAUGGAUGGAUGGUAGAUGGGUGGAUAGAUGAAUGGAUGGAUGAUAGAUGAAUGAAUAGAUGGAGGGAUGGGUGGUAGAUGGAUGGGUGGUGAAUGGAUGAUAGAUGAAUGGAUGGAUGGUAAAUGGGAGGAUAGAUGUGAGUGGAUGAAUGAUGAACAGAUGGAUGAAUGGGUGAUGGAUGGUGGAUGGUAGAUGGAUGGAUGGGUGGAUGGAUUGGUGGUGGAUGAUAAUUGGGUAGAUAGAUGGUUGGAUGGGUGGUGGGUGGAUGUGGAUGGUAGAUGAAUGGAUCGAUGGUAGAUGGGUGGUGGAUGGAUGAAUGAUGGACAGAUGAAUGAAUGAGUGGAUGGUAGAUGGAUGGACGGAUGGAUGGGUGGUGGAUGGUAAUUGGGUAGAUAAAUGGUGUUGGAUGGGGGGUGGAUGGAUGUAGAUGGUAGAUGAAUGGAUAGAUGGGAGAUGGGUGGAUGGAUAGUGGAUCGAUGACGAAUAGGUGUAUGAAUGGGUGGUGGGUGGAUGAUGGAUGGAUGGAUGGAUGGAUGGAUGGAUGGAUGGAUGGAUGGAUGGUGGAUGGUGGAUGGUUAGACAGAUGGUGGUUGGAUGGGUGAUGGAUACAUGAAUGGGUGGUGGAUGGUCAGAUGAAGACACUGGGCCCAGCUAUUACUCAGAUACCUCUCUGAGGUAGAUACAGCACUAACAUUUGAAAUGCAUGCUAUUGGCAUAAAUUGUGGUUGCUAUUCUUCCAAAUUAAACAGAGGGGUAUCCACUGGGAGCAAAACAGACAAAAAAUGGGUCCUCCAGGACCCUUUUAAAUAUCUGUGGAAUGGAAGCAAUGAAGUUAUGUUUCUCCAAAAUGAAUUAAUCUGUGAAGAGUUCCUUGAGAAUCUUGGAUUAAAAUUGCUCUUUUAGAGCCAAGACUAACACAUAUCUUACAUAAAAGUGAAAAGAAUCUUUUCAGCUCCCCCCUCCCCAAAUAGAUUACUGUAUCCAGUCAACAAAAUCUUAUCUUAAACCUCCAAAGAAUUACAUGAGCUCUCCUUAAAUUUUACUCUUUAAUUAAGAGACCAGUUUGAGGUUAGCCAGAUCUGGGGCUUUGACGUAGCAGUCGCCAAACCUCAGCGACAGGCCUGGUUUCCAUCUCUGUGAUAUUAAUCUUUUGAAGGCCAAACAUUCUCCUUAAUAAAAGCAUUUCAUGUGCCUUACUCUUAGCAGAUGCCUAAUGACUGCUUAGAGAAGGAAAGAAGGAAAACCCAAUGAAUCUAAAGAAUCGAGAUAGACUGAGUUCCCUACACCAAAUGGCUCACGUACGAAAGGAACCAUUGUCUUCUAAAAACUGACCCUUGGCUAUGUGUGCUGCCAGUCACUCCUGGGGGUUGGGGCAGACCAGGCCCACUGCUACCUCAUCUUCCUUCUAGCCUGAGCUUCUGUUGAUGUCAUCCCUGUCGGACCCUGGAUGAGAAAGAAAACGGGAACAACACGAGGAAGACGAGACAUCUUCCCCAGUGAGAAAUCUGCAAGUGUGCCAUUUUAGAGUUCGUGGUAACAUCUUUUCUUUGUUCUU
rnacentral:lncRNA from 10 species